UACUUACUCCCUCCAUUCGGAAUUACUCGUCCAAGAAAUGAAUGUAUCUAGAUGUAUUUUAGUUAUAGAUACAUCUAUUUUUGUGACAAGUAAUUCCGAACGGAGGGAGUACAUA
rfam:Triticum aestivum genome assembly, contig: Triticum_aestivum_CS42_TGACv1_scaffold_030377_1BL